rnacentral:rRNA from 1 species
UAGGGAAUCUUCGGCAAUGGACGAAAGUCUGACCGAGCAACGCCGCGUGAGUGAAGAAGGUUUUCGGAUCGUAAAACUCUGUUGUUAGAGAAGAACAAGGACGUUAGUAACUGAACGUCCCCUGACGGUAUCUAACCAGAAAGCCACGGCUAACUACGUGCCAGCAGCCGCGGUAAUACGUAGGUGGCAAGCGUUGUCCGGAUUUAUUGGGCGUAAAGCGAGCGCAGGCGGUUUCUUAAGUCUGAUGUGAAAGCCCCCGGCUCAACCGGAGAGGGUCAUUGGAAACUGGGAGACUUGAGUGCAGGAGAGGAGAGUGGAAUUCCAUGUGUAGCGGUGAAAUGCGUAGAUAUAUGGAGGAACACCAGUGGCGAAGGCGGCUCUCUGGUCUGUAACUGACGCUGAGGCUCGAAAGCGUGGGGAGCAAACAGG